UUAUUAUUGCGUACAGGCCACUUAACGGGAUUGUCCGCCCGCGGAAAACGAAAAUAAAACCCGCCUACGGUGUUCUAUUUUGACGCGAGAGCUCGGUAAUAUUUAUACCGUUCGCAAAUCGAGACAGGUAAUAAUAUACUUUAUGUAAAUUAGAGUGUCGCGUAAAAUUGAUUAACGUAAUAAUAUGAUACUAUUUUGACGCGACAGUGACAUUACGAGUAUGGCGGAAAAAUCACAUGAGGUUCGGGUUUUAAAAUUCUCGACUAUUGAUUUUAUACCACUCGGCGGGAAUUUUAUUAUGACAAUGUAUUGCCCGGCAGAUAAUAUAUUUAUGUAUUCGUAAAUGCGCAUUACGGCACGUAUUAUAACUGGGCCCCCGUGUAAAAGUUAUGCAUACAUAUAUGUAUCUAUAUUAUGUCUAAACGUACAGCACGUAUAUAUUUUUCAUUAGUUGCCAUUUUACCGCGGGUAACUGUUUCCGUGUCCUCGGCAAGAUUAUCGGAUAAUUUACGCAGGAAAUAAAAUUGAAAAUUCUUCCUGGUCACCAGUAUUCUGCGGGACGCGAGAGCGUAUAAAUCGAAUGUUUCGUGGUAUUUAAAUAAAUUGUGUUACAGGGGCAUUUGAACGGGUAGAAGAUAUUAGCCACCUAUCAUAUAUUCUAAGAUUCGGAAUGAAACGAAGGACCUAUUGGCUUUACUACGAUGAAUGUUUUUGAGGUGCGUUACCCCAGCAUAACCGUGUCAAAAUGUCGACUUUAAAACCUACUGGCGUUACGUAACGCAUUAUUUAACAAAUUCGUAACUGCAAACAAAAUUUCGGUAACCGCCAUAGAACGCAACAAACUCGGUGUUUCACUAGUGGCGGUACGUUAGUA